rnacentral:rRNA from 1 species
GGUACAUGAGCUGGGUUCAGAACGUCGUGAGACAGUUCGGUCUGUAUCCGUCGUGGGCGUAGGAGCAUUGAGGGGCGCCGACCUUAGUACGAGAGGACCGGGUCGGACCGACCGCUCGUGUACCGGCUGUCACGCCAGUGGCACCGCCGGGUAGCGAUGUCGGGUCGGGAUAACCGCUGAAAGCAUCUAAGUGGGAAGCCCUCCCCAAGAUAAAUGCUCCCGGAGCGCAAGCUCCCUGAAGGGCCCUCGGAGACUACGAGGUAAUAGGCGGCAGGUGUACAGGCGCGUAAGCGUGUCAGCCGAGCCGUACUAAUCGCCCGUGAGGCUUGAUCUC